AUGUUUGGUGGCCGGGUUGUAUAUUGUGGACGCUUGUUAUUGGAAACAAGCGGCUGGCGGCGGAGUGGAAUACUGAUGAAUCAUAUGAUGACUAGCAGAAAGAAGUGUUUACAAGGAUUGACGAUGUAUUGGUUCGUGUUUUGCUCCUCAGGAAGUUGUCCACAAUGGACUCCCAAGAAGAUUGAAUCAAUCACUGCUGUGCUGCAUUCACGGAAGUCAUGGCCAAGUACUAGUGGUUGCACGGUUUACAAGGUCUGUUCUGAUUUUUGGAGUAAUGGUACUGCUUCUUUUGGUACGUGA
rnacentral:rRNA from 1 species